rnacentral:rRNA from 1 species
GACGAACGCUGGCGGCGUGCUUAACACAUGCAAGUCGAACGGACAGGCCCUGCUCUUGUGGUUUUCUCGAGUGGCGAACGGGUGUGUAUCACGUGUGUAACCCCCCCUUGACUUUGUGGUAACACCAGGAAACUGGGGCUAUUAUCCGAUAGGAGCUUCUGCUGCACGGUGGUGGUUAGUAAGAUUCGGCGGUUGGGGAUGGACUCGCGGCUUAUGAGCUUGUUGGUGGGGUAGUGGCUUUCAAGGGCUUUGAAGGGUAGCCGGCCUGAGAGGGUGACCGGGCACAUUAGGACUGAGGUACGGCCCAGACUCGAACGGGAGGCAGCGGGGGAAAGUAUGACACAGCAAGCGGAAGUAUGAUGUAACGACGUCGCGUGCGGGAUGACGGGCUUCGGGUGGUAAACCGCUUUCGAAGGUGAUGUAGAGUGAGUGACGGUAACUGGUAAAGAAGCAACGGCUAACUACGUG